AUUGAACGCUGGCGGCAGGCUUAACACAUGCAAGUCGAGCGGGGGUAGCAAUACCUUAGCGGCGGACGGGUGAGGAAUGUAUCGGAACGUGCCGAGUAGUGGGGGAUAACACAGGGAAACUUGUGCUAAUACCGCAUACGCCCUGAGGGGGAAAGUGGGGGACCGCAAGGCCUCAAGCUAUUCGAGCGGCCGCUACCCGAUUAGCUAGUUGGUGAGGUAAGAGCUCACCAAGGCGGCGAUCGGUAGCUGGUCUUAGAGGACGAUCAGCCACACUGGAGCUGAGACACGGCCCAGACUCCUACAGGAGGCAGCAGUGGGGAAUAUUGGACAAUGGGGGCAACCCUGAUCCAGCCAUGCCACGUGAGUGAUGAAGGCCCUAGGGUUGUAAGGCUCUUUCGCACGCGACGAUAAUGACGGUAGCGUGAGAAGAAGCCCCGGCUAACUUCGUGCCAGCCGCCGCAGUAAAAC
rnacentral:rRNA from 1 species